GUCACCAUAACAUGAGGAACUGUAUUAAAGGGUCACAGCAUUAGGAAGGUGGAGAACCACUGACUUAGGUGGAGGGCACGCUGAUCAAGAGUGGGGCCUCGGAGUGGACCACCACCCAUUCACAUCUUGCCUCCCUGCUUUCUGGUUGUGAGGGCCAGAGCAAAUGCUUUCUUGCACUAGGCCUCAGUUUCCCCUGCACAGAAUGAGGAUGAGGAUGAGCGUCAUGGUCCUCCAAAGGGUAAUUAUGAGGAUAAAACGAGACAUUACGUUUAAAUCAUGCAGCAGAGUCCGGCUCACAGUGAAUACCCACAUAGUAAUGUCCAUUGCCAGCUCUGACUCCCAGAGCCGAGGCUGGAAGAGGAAAAACUGCCCUUGAGUCUUGGCAGCGAGGAGCCUCAGGCUCAAGCCCUUUGCUCUGAGGAGUGUUAGGCGGCCUCACCAAACACAUUUUCUUGGCAGCUCCUCUUUUGGGGAGACUUUCCCAGUGGUCAGGGCCUAGGGAAAUUAGCCUCCCCUCUUUCCUCCAUACUCCACUCAAGUCUAGGACCCUCAAGGUGCAACAUCAACCUGGCACGGGGAACUCUUCCCAUCCCAUUUCUGGCAGGGCUGGGGCAGGGCUCAGGAGCGGUGAGGAAAUUCAUGGGAGUCACCCUCAGAGGUGGGGUGGGGCGGGGAAGGGUGGAGAAGGACUGCAUGGUUCACAGGGAAACCAAUCCCUCCUCCCCAGAGCAGGAAUGGGGCCUAGCCCACGCCCACUUUGUGGGGGAGGAACGCCCUGGGCUGCGGUGCCCCCACCUCAGUUACAACCCCUCUCCCGGGCCCCUCCUGACGGUUGGUCUGCAGUGAGAACUACACAAGGACACAAGCUCAGCUCAACUUCUCUUCUCUCCCCACUGGGGCUGAGAUGGGAGGACUCUGUGGCUGGAACCAGGAGCUAUUUCUUGGCAGCGCAGUCACGCUGAUGAUGUUCCUGCUGCCGUGAAGCGCGGCCCCUCUCUGGGUCUCCCUCAUGUGGCGGAGGGGCUAAACCUGGACAAUCAGAAGGCAAUGUUUGCACCAUGAAAACAAAAGACUCCCCACCCCACCAGUCUCAUGACGUGAGUGUCCAUCUCCAGGGAUUUGCCAGACACUAUUUAUCAAACUUCUCGAGACAGACUCUUAUCAAGACUGGAUUCUAGAAUGUGGCACAAAGCAAGGGGGGAAGCAGACAACCAAACUGUCCCUGUGAGCCGAGGGCGAGGACACGGAGAAGUCUUGCAAGAAGACCUCAAGAGUGUCCAGAGCUUCCUCUCUCGGACUGAGCCUGGAGUCCAUGGCAGUUUCGAUUGUGAAGCCGACUCUAUUGUGGGAGCAUCUGGGCAAUGACCCAAACGGCUGAGGUGACCCUUCCCAUGAUCUGCCCACAAAAGCAGCUGCACUGAACUGCACAGGUACAUGAGCAUCGACUGAGAAUCAUGUACUUCCAGUUGCAUAGACUUUGCAAGAAGCGGCUUUCCACCUCAUCUGUUUUCACCACUUGUUGGCAGAUGAGACGUUGAGCCCUGGGUUGGGAAAGUGCAUGUGUAAGUCCUGCUGGGGGCUGAGAGCAGCGGGAGGAGAACUCCAUCUAUUUGGGCUUUCGCUGCUGUGCGGGACGCAGGUUGUGGGGCCUUAGGGAAAUAAAAGCUACAAUUUAUUGGGCAUCUA